CUUGUGUUAUCAACAUUAAUGAACAAUAAAGAUUUUGAGACAAAUUUGAAAUCUUCUUUAAUUAUUUAAAGAAGAUUAAAGAAGAUUUAAUUAAAGAAGAAUGGCCAACCCUGAUGUUUCUUGAUGUUUUCAAUUUCCUGAUCUUUUGGAUUUACUGCGGAUUCUCAAAAAGUGUUUGUCAAUACCUUUAUACCUCCAACUCCAAGAAUAGUCAGGAAUUGCGGGAAUAUAUUUAUGGAUUAAAUUCCAUGAUAUGUGGGUAAGGUUGUCUUCCUUUGAUGCAAGAAGUAGUAUGUGUUAAAACACCAAUGAAUGUAAGGUAGUGCGUGUAGAGGGGCUUUGUCAACAGAGGUGUGUUCUGUUCUUUAAAGUAAAUUUUGAUGCUGAUUUUUGCAGUGUUGUUGCACCUUGUUUUAAUAAAUUCUUUUACUUAUAUGCCAUGAUUGACAGAUGCAUUUGGAAGUUAAAUGAAUAUGAAAAAUCACUUGCUUUUGCUUUGAACAUUGUUUGUCAUAGGUAAUGUAUAAGUAUUUUGCAGUGCAACUAAUUGGUUCCUCUCCUUCACCCACUCAAACCAGGCAAAGUGCACACUGCUUUAAACCACUGCUUUAAAUCUCACCACAGGAUGUUAGUUCAAAUAAGUAAUUUUUUAAAGUCUAUGCAAUAUUUAUUUCAUGCUUGUGUGCUCACUUACAGCAAAUUUAUGUAUAUGUGUUUUUGAGAAUUUCUGACUCAUGUAGAACAAGUAUUGCCUGCAAUGGACAUGAAUGGCUAACAUGACAAAAUUGCUUAAGGAAGGACAACUAAGCUUCAUCUUAUCUUACAAUUUUUAAGAACUUAAAAAAUAUUUAUCAUAAACAGAAAGCGUUGUUUGGCCAUAGACCAACAUGAUGUUUAGAAACAGCUUUCAAAAGACACCGCGAGAGAACUGGCUAAUAUAUUUGGCAUGCCCUCGACUUCUCAAAUAUAAAGUAAACCAGAUAGAAGGCGGAGAUUGAAAGUCAAGCUCGUAAAAUAAACAUUCUAAAACACGAAUUCAACCCAUCGAAUGGCUGCCAAACCAAAUACAAGAUUAUUGAGCGAGUUAUAGUGGAUGCUGAAACACUUUGUAAAAUGAAACAAACUAAGGAGACAGUACCAUUUUAAUUCGUUAUAUGAGAGGAGACAACAAUACCGUUGUAUUUCGAACUUAUUACUAUUUCGUCAUCACAAAGUUGAUCUCAAA